GAGCUCGCUUGGGCAGCACGUACAGGAACACUUGGAACAAUGCAGAGAAGAGUGGCAUGGCUCCUGCGCAAGGAUGACACGCAAAUUCGUGACGCCUUCCAUAUUUUA